rnacentral:rRNA from 1 species
GACAGAGGAUGCAAGCGUUAUCCGGAAUGAUUGGGCGUAAAGCGUCUGUAGGUGGCUUUUUAAGUCUGCCGUCAAAUCCCAGGGCUCAACCCUGGACAGGCGGUGGAAACUACCAAGCUGGAGUACGGUAGGGGCAGAGGGAAUUUCCGGUGGAGCGGUGAAAUGCGUAGAUAUCGGAAGGAACACCAGUGGCGAAGGCGGCUACCUGGAUUGACACUGACACUGAGGCACGAGAGCGUGGGGAGCAAACAGG